GAUGAACGCUGGCGGCGUGCCUAAUACAUGCAAGUCGAGCGAACAGAUGAGGAGAUUGUUCCUUUGACGUUAGCGGCGGACGGGCGAGUAACACGUGGAUAACAAACCUAUAAGUCGGGGAGCAUUACGGGGAAACGGUGCUACUACUAGAGCAUAUAUUGAACCGCAGGGAUCAAUAGUGAAAGACGGUUUUCGUGUCACAUAUAGAUGGAUCCGUGCCGCAUUGGCUAGUUGGUAAGGUAACGGCCUACCAAGGCGACGAUGCGUAGCUGAGCUGAGAGGAUGAUCAGCCACACUGGAACUGAGACACGGUCCAGACUCCUACGGGAGGCAGCAGUGGGGAAUAUUGGACAAUGGGCGCAAGCCUGAUCCAGCCAUACCGCGUGGGUGAAGAAGACCUUCGGGUUGUAAAGCCCUUUUGUUGGGAAAGAAAAGCAGUAGGUUAAUACCCCGCUGUUUUGACGGUACCCAAAGAAUAAGCACCGGCUAACUUCGUG
rnacentral:rRNA from 1 species